GGUCAUGAGUGUCAGCGUUCAAGCCCCGGCUUGCUGGCCGGCAACCCUCCAACCGCGGUGGGGUGCCCCGGGUGAAAAGACCUGGUUAAUCGGUCACGCACCACCGCGUGGCCGGAGAACAAGCGCGGGUC
rfam:Rhodococcus sp. CTA-806 NODE_61_length_46401_cov_4.69179_ID_121, whole genome shotgun sequence.